rnacentral:rRNA from 1 species
ACUCCUACGGGAGGCAGCAGUGGGGAAUUUUGGACAAUGGGCGCAAGCCUGAUCCAGCCAUGCCGCGUGCAGGAUGAAGGCCUUCGGGUUGUAAACUGCUUUUGUACGGAACGAAAAGACUCCUUCAAAUAAAGGGGGUUCAUGACGGUACCGUAAGAAUAAGCACCGGCUAACUACGUGCCAGCAGCCGCGGUAAUACGUAGGGUGCAAGCGUUAAUCGGAAUUACUGGGCGUAAAGCGUGCGCAGGCGGUUAUAUAAGACAGAUGUGAAAUCCCCGGGCUCAACCUGGGAACUGCAUUUGUGACUGUAUAGCUGGAGUACGGCAGAGGGGGAUGGAAUUCCGCGUGUAGCAGUGAAAUGCGUAGAUAUGCGGAGGAACACCGAUGGCGAAGGCAAUCCCCUGGGCCUGUACUGACGCUCAUGCACGAAAGCGUGGGGAGCAAACAGGAUUAGAUACCCUGGUAGUCCACGCCCUAAACGAUGUCAACUGGUUGUUGGGAAUUCACUUUCUCAGUAACGAAGCUAACGCGUGAAGUUGACCGCCAGGGGAAUACGGCCGCAAGGUUGAAACUCAAAGGAAUUGACGGGG